GACGAACGCUGGCGGCGUGCUUAACACAUGCAAGUCGAACGGAAAGGCCCUGCUUUUGUGGGGUGCUCGAGUGGCGAACGGGUGAGUAACACGUGAGUAACCUGCCCUUGACUUUGGGAUAACUUCAGGAAACUGGGGCUAAUACCGGAUAGGAGCUCCUGCUGCAUGGUGGGGGUUGGAAAGUUUCGGCGGUUGGGGAUGGACUCGCGGCUUAUCAGCUUGUUGGUGGGGUAGUGGCUUACCAAGGCUUUGACGGGUAGCCGGCCUGAGAGGGUGACCGGCCCCAUUGGGACUGAGAUACGGCCCAGCCUCCUACGGGAGGCAGCAGUGGGGAAUAUUGCACAAUGGGCGGAAGCCUGAUGCAGCAACGCCGCGUGCGGGAUGACGGCCUUCGGGUUGUAAACCGCUUUCGCCUGUGACGAAGCGUGAGUGACGGUAAUGGGUAAAGAAGCACCGGCUAACUACGUG
rnacentral:rRNA from 1 species